GAUGAACGCUGGCGGCGUGCCUAAUACAUGCAAGUCGAGCGAACGGACGAGAAGCUUGCUUCUCUGAUGUUAGCGGCGGACGGGUGAGUAACACGUGGAUAACCUACCUAUAAGACUGGGAUAACUUCGGGAAACCGGAGCUAAUACCGGAUAAUAUUUUGAACCGCAUGGCUCAAAAGUGAAAGACGGUCUUGCUGUCACUUAUAGAUGGAUCCGCGCUGCAUUAGCUAGUUGGUAAGGUAACGGCUUACCAAGGCAACGAUGCAUAGCCGACCUGAGAGGGCGAUCGGCCACACUGGAACUGAGACACGGUCCAGACUCCUACGGGAGGCAGCAGUAGGGAAUCUUCCGCAAUGGGCGAAAGCCUGACGGAGCAACGCCGCGUGAGUGAUGAAGGUCUUCGGAUCGUAAAACUCUGUUAUUAGGGAAGAACAUAUGUGUAAGUAACUGUGCACAUCUUGACGGUACCUAAUCAGAAAGCCACGGCUAACUACGUG
rnacentral:rRNA from 1 species